GGGGAAUUUUCCGCAAUGGGCGCAAGCCUGACGACGCAACGCCGCGUGGAGGAUGAAGAUCUUCGGGUCGUAAACUCCUUUCGAUCGGGAAGAACGUUUUCGGAGCGAAUAACUCCGGGAAGUGACGGUACCGAGAGAAGAAGCCCCGGCUAACUCUGUGCCAGCAGCCGCGGUAAUACAGGGGGGGCAAGCGUUGUUCGGAAUUACUGGGCGUAAAGGGCUUGUAGGCGGCCAACUAAGUCACACGUGAAAUCCCCAGGCUUAACCUGGGAACUGCGUGUGAUACUGGAUGGCUUGAAUCCGGGAGAGGGAUGCGGAAUUCCAGGUGUAGCGGUGAAAUGCGUGGAUAUCUGGAGGAACACCGGUGGCGAAGGCGGCAUCCUGGACCGGCAUUGACGCUGAAAAGCGAAAGCCAGGGGAGCAAAAGGGAUUAGAUACCCCA
rnacentral:rRNA from 1 species